GGUGUUUGGCACCUCGAUGUCGGCUCAUCUCAUCCUGGGGCUGAAGCAGGUCCCAAGGGUAUGGCUGUUCGCCAUUUAAAGAGGUACGCGAGCUGGGUUUAGAACGUCGUGAGACAGUUCGGUCCCUAUCUACCGUGGGCGCUGGAAAUUUGAGAGGAUCUGCUCCUAGUACGAGAGGACCAGAGUGGACGAACCUCUGGUGUACCGGUUGUGACGCCAGUCGCAUCGCCGGGUAGCUAUGUUCGGAAGGGAUAACCGCUGAAAGCAUCUAAGCGGGAAGCCUACCUCAAGAUAAGAUUUCCCUAGGACUUUAUGUCCUCUAAAGAGCCGUUCGAGACUAGGACGUUGAUAGGUUGGAUGUGGAAGCAUAGUGAUAUGUGAAGCUGACCAAUACUAAUUGCUCGUGAGGCUUGACUAUACAACACCCAAGCAGUUG
rnacentral:rRNA from 1 species